UUAAGAGCAGUGAAUUCCUGUCGAUCAGCUUAUGGAUGUUUCCAGUUUUCUUCUAAGUUUUUUGUCCAUUAUGUCAGUGGAUCAGCUGCAAGAGGAACUGUCAAUGAUGAAGAUGCUCUGCGAUGUAAGAUUGGUAUGAAGUCUAUCAUGACUGUAUUUAGAUCACUAGGAACAAUAGACAAGACGGUUGAAAAAUGUCAGAUCUCUCUCAAUAUGAUUGAUGCAAGGCUGGUUUUCCAAAUGUAUUGUAGACAUGGUAUUAUCAAGACUCAUAACCUUGCCUUUAUAGAGUGUGAAACUCUCCAGGCUGUUCACUCCAAGGACUUGUGCCCCAACAAAUUUACAGCCCCUCC
rnacentral:sRNA from 1 species